AAAUCAAACACACAGUAUUUUGAAAGGGCUUUAUCAAAAUCUUUGACGAAGUUUGGACACACGACGCUUAAAGAACAGCAAAAGUCGUGCAUUCGAAAGCUUGUUGUUGACAGCCAAGGCCCAAGAUGUCUUUGCCGUUCUGCCAACUCUGGCUUCGGUGAAAGUCUUAUUUAUCAGGUCUUACCAGCGUUGUUUUCUGAGCCAUAUCGCCUUCGUCAUGGUACGAUAAAGAAUUUCGUUAUUGCUGUUGUUAUCCCGUUAGAAAUUGUAUAUCCGCGUCCAGCAAGUUGAG